GUCGAUCAAUCAGGAGGUGAUUGCAAUCGUCACAUUUUAGCUGUCAUACUACAGCGGUAGACCCCCGAUACGUUCCGAUUUACCAAGCAUUGUAUCAUAUAUUGCUUCUUGGCCCAACCGGUUCCCAUUCUUCAACUGACCCGGCAGCGCGCUUCGGACAACAAACAUCGCCCGCUGCAGUUGGAAAGGCAAAAGUUUUACGUAAGACCGCUUGUGUAACCCCGAGUGAAAGAACUCUUGCAGUAGUGCAGCGUUUCCGAGCGCGGCGAGACGCGUGCGCGCGAGUUGAUAUACGUUUACGUUCGCAAUACGAAUCGGUAUGAUUGUGAAAUUGUGUUAUGUUAUGUGCGUCUACUGUUUAGGGCUGCCAUCGACCAAAUUUGAUGCUUAAAUGCAAACUAGGCUGAACCCAAUUCAUCAAGAACUCAAAAUAAAAUAGGUAAAGAACUUUAAAAGACGAAUUAUCAAGAGAAGUUCUACCAUAUAAAGGCAAAUGCCACAGUGUAGUGUAGUGUAAUGUAGUAUAGUGAAAAUGUCAGUGUCCGGAGUAUGGGAUCUGAUGGACUUGGUGCCGGUGAGGUGCCGCUGGAUUGAGAGGCUGCGGCGUUGCGGCAAAACACUGCUGCGACGUCACAAGCGACUACUUAGACGGAUUAAGAAGGUAAUUUGUACUACAAUAGUGUCGGUCAAUAGAAGGCAAGC